rnacentral:rRNA from 1 species
UACAGAGGGGGCAAGCGUUGUUCGGAAUUACUGGGCGUAAAGGGCUCGUAGGUGGCCAACUAAGUCAGACGUGAAAUCCCUCGGCUUAACCGGGGAACUGCGUCUGAUACUGGAUGGCUUGAGUUCGGGAGAGGGAUGCGGAAUUCCAGGUGUAGCGGUGAAAUGCGUAGAUAUCUGGAGGAACACCGGUGGCGAAGGCGGCAUCCUGGACCGGCAUUGACGCUGAGGCGCGAAAGCCAGGGGAGCAAAGCGGG